GGACACGCUGGCGGCGCGGAUUAGGCAUGCAAGUCGAACGGUAUCAUCCUUUCGGGGGUGAGAGAGUGGCGAACUGGUGAGUAACACGUAGGAAUCUACCCUUAAGACGGGACAACCCAGGGAAACUUGGGCUAAUACCGGAUGAGAGUGCGAGAGAUUGCAUUUAAAAGGAUGGCGAAAGUUGUCGCUUAGGGAUGAGCCUGCGGUCUAUUAGUUAGUUGGUGAGGUAAGAGCUCACCAAGGCGAUGAUAGAUAGGCGGCCUUAACGGGUGGUCGCCCACACUGGGAUUGAGAUACGGCCCAGACUCCUACGGGAGGCAGCAGUCGAGAAUAGUCUACAAUGGCCGGAAGGCUGAUAGUGCGACGCCGCGUGAACGAGGGAGCCCUUCGGGGUGUAAAGUUCUUUUCUAUACGAGCAGUGCUAUAUAUAUGGAUAGUAUAUAUAGAGGGAUAGUAGUAUAGGAAUAAGCAACGGCUAACUCCGUG
rnacentral:rRNA from 1 species